AGGACGAACGCUGGCGGCGUGCUUAACACAUGCAAGUCGAGCGGAAAGGCCCUUUCGGGGGUACUCGAGCGGCGAACGGGUGAGUAACACGUGAGCAACCUGCCCUGGACUUUGGGAUAACCCUCGGAAACGGGGGCUAAUACCGAAUAUUACUUCUGCCCGCAUGGGUGGUGGUGGAAAGAUUUUUUGGUCUGGGAUGGGCUCGCGGACUAUCAGCUUGUUGGUGGGGUGAUGGCCUACCAAGGCGACGACGGUUA
rnacentral:rRNA from 1 species